AGCGAACGCUGGCGGCAGGCCUAACACAUGCAAGUCGAACGAACCUUUCGGGGUUAGUGGCGGACGGGUGAGUAACACGUGGGAACGUGCCUUUAGGUUCGGAAUAACUCAGGGAAACUUGUGCUAAUACCGAAUGUGCCCUUCGGGGGAAAGAUUAAUCGCCUUUAGAGCGGCCCGCGUCUGAUUAGCUAGUUGGUUGAGGUAAUGGCUCACCAAGGCGACGAUCAGUAGCUGGUCUGAGAGGAUGAUCAGCCACAUUGGGACUGAGACACGGCCCAAACUCAUACGGGCGGCAGCAGGGGGGAAUCUUGCGAAAUGGGGGAAAGCUUGACGCCCCCAUGCCGCGUAAAGGAAGAAGGUGUUAGAAUUGAAAAAUUCUUUCACCGGGGAGGAUAAUGACGGUACCGGGAAAAGAGCCCCGGGCUAGCUUCGUG
rnacentral:rRNA from 1 species